rnacentral:rRNA from 1 species
GAUGAACGCUGGCGGCGUGCUUAACACAUGCAAGUCGAACGAGAAGUGAAGACGGAAACCUUCGGGCGGAAGGCUUUAUUUCGAGUGGCGGACGGGUGAGUAACGCGUGGGUAACCUGCCUCAUACAGGGGGAUGACAGUUGGAAACGACUGUUAAUACCGCAUAAGACCACAGCACCGCAUGGUGCGGGGGUAAAAACUCCGGUGGUAUGAGAUGGACCCGCGUUCGAUUAGCCAGUUGGCGGGGUAACGGCCCACCAAAGCGACGAUCGAUAGCCGAUCUGAGAGGAUGACCGGCCACAUUGGGACUGAGACACGGCCCAAACUCCUACGGGAGGCAGCAGUGGGGAAUAUUGCACAAUGGGGGAAACCCUGAUGCAGCGACGCCGCGUGAGUGAAGAAGUAUUUCGGUAUGUAAAGCUCUAUCAGCAGGGAAGAAAAUGACGGUACCUGAGGAAGAAGCCCCGGCUAACUACGUG